rnacentral:rRNA from 1 species
UGGUGGAGUGAUUUGUCAGGUUAAUUCCGGUAACGAACGAGACUUUGGCCUGCUAAUUGACGGCUGCGUAUUAAUGAGCAGUUCUGUCACUUAGAGGGACUUUGUACUUUCAACGCAAGGAAGCUCGAAGCUAUAACA